rnacentral:lncRNA from 1 species
GGCGGAGGGAGCCGGGGCUGGGAGUUCUCCUGAGAGAAGAGGAGUGAAGUGGCGGGGACGCGGCGGCGGCAGUGCUGACAAUGGUGAGUGCGCGGCGGCCGGUGCGCUAGUCUCCCGCCUUCAGCUCGGAGCGCGCGGCGCGACGGCCAACGGCGGGCGCGGCGUCGCGUCAGGAAGGGGCGGGCGGGGAGCUGGGAGCAGGUUAGGCCUGUCCGGCUACCCCGGGUUCGGGGGAGUGCGAGCGGCGCCGCCUCUUCCCGGUCUCGAAGAGGCCCGAGGACCGGCAGGCGGCCGUGCCUCUCCUGGCCAUGUCGGAGCCUCUGCCGGCGUUCCUCGACCGGCUGUGGGGGCCCUGGCUGGGCACCCGGACCCCGCCCCUGCGGGGGCCCGCGGCCGCUUCCCCGCCCAAGGUAGCAGGUCCCUGCGCUGCUCCCCGGCAACCUCGCUUCCAUGCAGGUUGGGUGACCCAGAGUCCCCCAGUUCCGGCCUCUGGUGGACUUGGUCACUCUCCCUGUGUUAUGAGCUUGAUAAACUCCCUUAUUUUUUAUCCUGGGUACGGUGACUGUGAUUUCAUGACCCUACUUGAGGGUGGAGGUUGACACUUGUAGAAUGGGAGAGAAAGGGGUGUCUGAAUGGGGUGACGUUUUUAACUCCGAACACUGAGUUUCGUGUCCGCGGAUUUCAGCGUUGACUUCGUUUCCUUCCCUAAGCCGUUUCUUUAACUUAACGCUUCGGGAUGUUGAAAUGGCCUAGGAAGCAGAGGAGGGAGGGAAAUCAGUUUUCUAACCCCAGUUUGUGGGAAGCACAAACGUGGGCACGGUGGUGGUUAGCUUUGAGUGUCGGCAGCCUCCUCUAGAUUGGAUCUCAUUGGGCUCAUUUUACGGUAGCAUUCGUUUAUUCGUUUCAUUUGCUCUGCAUGCUUUGAGUGCCUACUAUGUGCUUUCCGUAUCCUACCUCCUUUCCCAAAGCUUGCCUUUUAAAUAAACUGAAACUUUUGGCUAACGGUCAAGCCAGUUUUUUUUUUUUUUAAGUUACUUUGAAUAAAUAACUUCUAAAGUCAGAAAUUGCUUUGCUUUCAUUUAAAGAAAAAAAAAAAGAUGUAUUCAUUUUUGGAGUUUUUUUCCUUUCAUUUAUUGUCCAGGGGCCAUAAACAAAACUGCUUGCUUUCUUUUAGCAUACAGUCUAAGGAGAGAUAAACAUUAAUUUGUGUAAACUGGUUGUUUAACGUGGAAAUUACAAUUGUGAUAAAUACUGAGAAGGAAUUGCUGGAGGAUUUCACCUAGUCAGGGAGUUGGGGAAGUCUUCUCUGAUUAUAAUUUGAAAAGAAAACUUUAUAAAACUCCAAUUUUUUGCUUAUAUGUGUAAUUAGUGUUUUUACUAAGCUUUCUGCAAUAUGUUAAAGAACAUGGUUUAUUUUCAAGUUACUUGUCAAACAAAUGAAAUUGUAAAACUUUGAAACGUUGAAAUGGCACAAAUGUAUGUGUGAAAAUAUGCUGUUUCAUUGUGUGUAGGCUAAGCAAAUAAAUUUUGAGAGUCUCCCUUCCACCUCACCUUGAUCUACAUUUCAUCCACCGGUCUUGGUGCACUUUGUUCUAUUAGGACUAAAAAAUGUCUUUUAUGUAUCCACAUGUAAUUUUGCUACAUGAUAAUGCUUAAUGUAGGGUUUACACAUUGUAUGAAAAAUCUUAAAUUAACCCAAAGUUAGUGAUUAAUAUGAAGUUUAGGCCAAGAUUAGAAAACUGAAAACGCUAUAAUGUUUUACUAGUAGUAUAUUGCAGUCUAGUUAUUUAAAAGUGACCUAGAAGUUUUAUUAUUUUCUUUUUUUGUUUUGCUGAUACUGGGGAUUGAGCCCAGGGCCUCACAUGUGCUAGGCAAGCCUCUACCAUUGAGCUACAUUACUAGCCCUAAGAGUUUUUUUGUUUUUAAUAUUUUUUUAAUUGUCAUUGGACUUUAUUUUAUUUAUUUAUGUAUGAUGCUGAGAAUCGAACUCCAGUGCCUAGGCAAGUGCUCUACCACUGAACCACAACCCCAGCCUUAGCCCUAAGAGUUUUAACUUGUAUUAUUAAUUGUGUAGUAUUGUUCUUGAACAUUCUUUUUUGGGGAUACUUGUAAAGACAAGUGCUCUGCCACUGAGCCAUAUCCCCAACCUGAAAAUCUCAUACUCCUAUUGCUCACUUGAAGUUGUCUUUGACAGAAGAUCUCAAUAGUAUUCUUUCAAAACUGCCUUCUGUUAUUUCAGCAAGUCUAAAGUAUCCUUUUUAUUAUAUUUUCUUUUUCCUAUUUUUAUACUGGGGAUUGAGCCACAUCCCCUGCCCUUUUUAAAAUUUUUUUAUUUUGAAACAGGGUCUUGCUAAGUUACCUAGGGCCUCCCUAAGUUGCUGAGACUGGCUUUGAACUUUCAAUCUGCUUGCCUCAGCCUCCCUAAAGUUGCUGGGAUUACAUGUGUGCACCACUGCAUUGGGCUGUUUUUACAAUUUUUGUUCCCUUCCUUUCUUGUAUUUUACUUUCUCUUUAACAUAUCAGAAGUAUUAUAAUUUGAUUGUGAAUAAUUAGAAUUAAAUAUCAUGACUUUUUAUUUGAAAUGUGAGAAUAUAUAAUCUUGAAAUAAAAUAAAACCAAGACCUUGGGUAAAGAAUCUUUUACUUUAAACGGCUUUUAGAAAACAAAAAAGACAAGUUCUUUUCUCAGUUUUUUUUUUCUGUUGUUGACUUGUGAAAUAUAACACUUUUUUGGAGUGUUCUUUUGAGUAAAACUAUAGGUUCAUUUUUGAUAUGUCCCAAUAUUAAAAAAAAAAAGCUGUAUGUUAACCCAAUGCUAAAAUCUUAUGGCAUAGUUAACUUGUUAAAAUGCUAUAGUUUAUUACUCAACCUAACUCUUUGGCAUGUGCUAUUUUUUGUUAUACCUUUUUUUUUUUUUUUUUAGUUGUAGUUGGACACAAUACCUUUAUUUCACUUAUUUAUUUUUAUGUGGUGCUAAGGAUCGAACCCAGGGUCUCACAAGUGUGAGGUGAGCGCUCUACCACUGAGCCACAACCCCAGCCCCUUGUUAUACCUUCUGAUUCCUCACCAUUUUAACUUUAAAAAAAGUUUUAUUAUUUAUUGAUGGACCUUUAUUUAUUUAUUUGUUUAAAUGUGGUGCUGAGGAUUGCAUCCAGUGCCUCACACAUGCGAGGCAAAUGCUUUACCACUGAGCCACAACCCCAUCCCCAUUUUAACUUUUUUUUAUUGUAUUGAGAAGGAAGUCUGUUUUUUUUUUUUUUUUUCAUUUUUAGUUCUGAAAUAUUUAAUGCAUAUAGAAAAUAAUGUAGUACAUAACACCUAGAUUUUUCUUUUUCUUCUUUUGGUAUUGGAAAUGCACUCAGGAUUGUUUAACCACUGAGCCAAACCCACAGAUAUUUUUAUUUUAUUUUUUAAAUUUUGAGACAGGAUCUCACUAAAUCCUGAGAGCCUCAAUAAUUUGCUAAGGCUGGUCUUGAACUUGCAAUCCUCCUGUCUCACCCUCCCAAACUGGGAUUACAGGUGGUGUAUGAUACCAUGCCUAGCUGCAUGUAUUUUUAAUGCCUAGGAAUUUUUAAUUUUUAAGAAUUGGUAUCAGGACAAUACUUUUUGUGUAUGAUUAUUAAUUGUGUAGUUUUCUAAAACUAAGUCUUUUGGCAAUUUUAAUUAGCGCUGAUUUUAAUUUUGCUAAAAUUGUUUUUAUUUAUUUUGGGAGGGGGAACUGGGGAUAGUACUUAGGGACACUCGAUCACUGAGCCACGUCCCCAGCCAUAUUUUGUAUUUUAUUUAGAGACAGGGUUUCACCGAGUUGCUUAAUGCCCCACUUUUGCUGAGGCUGGCUUUGAACUCACUAUCCUCUCUUCUCAGCCUCCCAAGCUGCUGGGAUUACAAGCAUGUGAAACCGUGCCCAGACAAAAUUGUAUUUAAUUUUUGAUUAUUUGAUUUUUGUUAUUUUUCAAAUACCAAGUGCAGCUCUGUUAAAUAUUAUAAUAAUAUAUAAUGUUAUAAAAAACUGUUAGAAAACAGUUUUUAUAGUUUUCACAAUUUAUUUUUCCUUGAAGUAGCCUUGGUAAGUGUCGGGUUAAAAAUUAAUAUUUCUGCCUUAAUUUUGUAACUCAAAUGAAUUGAUGUUGUGGGUGUCACAAGGGAGAAGAACUCAUUUUCUUCUUACCCUCACUGCCAGUUGGUGUUCUCUUUUUCUGCACCUGACUUUGUUUCCCCAAUUAAAAUAGCUACUUGGAGAUGUUGCUUUUAUCCUUUCAUAAGUGAUCUAUCUGCAGUAGUCUCCUCUCUUGUUGGCUCAGUGGUUAAUAGUGCACAUAGUUAAUAAUUAGUGGAUUGAUUUUGAACUGUUGUACAUCUUUUUAAAAAAAAUUUUUUUAAGUUGUUGAUGGACCUUUAUUUUUUUUAUUUAUUUGUAUGUGGUGCUGAGAAUCGAACCCAGUGCCUCAUGCAUGCUAGGCAAGCUCUCUACCACUGAGCCACAACCCCAGCCCUCCUCCCCUCCAAACUGUUGUACAUCUUAUCUGUAGUCUUCUCUUAGGAGAACAUGUAGUAUUUUAAAAUUUGCCUUUUUUGAGUAGGUUUUGAGUUUUAAGACUUAGAGUGUGAACACUAACUAGAAUAGAUAAUGCAGGUAACCUAUCAUUGAAGUUUUUCAUUCUCUCUAAAUUAGUUCAUUGUAGUUUUCUGAUAACAAUUUUGAGUUUGUUGUUCCCAGAAAAGACUAAAACAUCACGUCAAAAAGAAAAUUUGGGGGGAUGGGGGUUGUAGCUUAGUGGUAGGGGGCUUGCCUAGCUGUGUGAGGCACCGGGUUCAAUCCUCAGCACCACAUAAAGAUAAAUAAAUAAAGGUAUUGUGUUCAUCUACAACUAAAAAAAAUAUUUUUAAAAAAAGAAAAUUUGCUAUUUGGAAUAUAUCAAAAACACUAAUUUGGCAAUUCUUGUAGUUUCUUGAAAGUAUAAGCCCACCCUUUUAAUAUAGGAGUAAUGAAAACAAAGAAGCAAGUCCACAUUUUGGGAAAACACUGUCUCAUUUGAUCAUAGCCUACAAAGCCUUUUGGAGGCUCAUUAUCUUGCUUGCCAUUCCCUGGCCACCUCAGGACAGAGCUGACCUUGUCUGUGCUUGAGUUCCAUGCUCUAGGCUUCACUAUUAACACCAGUGCUAAUUUGUUGGGAAAGGGCUGGCAUUACCACCUAUUCUAGAUAUCAUCCAACUUCUUUUGUAUAGUCAGUUUUUUCCCUAUUAUUAGAAUGGUAUUUGUAUGUUUAAAUUUAACAUUCCAAUAGGUAUUUCAGUGCCUUCUAUUAAAUGCCACUACUGCUCUAGGUCCUGUCUCUUCAGUGAGGAAUAAAGGAUAUGGUGUCCUCACAUAGUUUACAGUGUAGUAGGAGUGUCAGGCAGUAAAAUCAGCCUUGCGACACCUAACUUUGGAGAAUCCAGUUUGGAUUAGGGAGUUAGGGAGAGUCUUAUGAAAAUGACUCAAACUUAAAUUAAAAGGAUGAGUUAGGUUAAGGUACUUUGCUUGACUCUAGGACAAAGAAUUUGGCAAAUGUGAUGAACUUUUGCAGAAAAAUCUUAAGAUCAUUUGAGGCUGAUGUAACUGAAGAGAUGUACAGAGCUAUGUAAGAUGUUACAGAAUGCAGUGUGUGUAUGUGUACUAUUGAAGUUAACAUUAUGUAUAAGGAUAUAGCUUGAUGAAUUUCAUAAAGUGAACAUGCCUGUGUGUCAAGUGCUCAGAACAGAGAACAGUACUAGCACCCCACUUAUUUUAUUCUUCCUCCCACUUCUUAACUUCUAAUAUUACAAUGUACAGGGGCUGGGGAUGUGGCUCAAGCGGUAGCACGCUCGCCUGGCAUGCGUGCGGCUCUGGGUUCCAUCCUCAGCACCACAUACAAACAAAGAUGUUGUGUCCGCCGAAAACUAAAAAAAAAUAAAUAUUAAAAUUCUCUCUCUCUUUUAAAAAAAAAAACAAUGUACAUUACAUGUUUUUGACUUAUAUGUAUAUGAGAUCAAAACAGAAUGUAUUCUCCUGUGUGGCCUCUUGGACUCUUUAAUUCAACUUUUUUUUGUUGUUGUUGUUGAUAGAUGUUUGGAUUGUUUCCAUUGGAGGCUGUUGUAAACAUAUUUGUCUCCUGUAAGUUUCUGUUUAGGAAUAUAUCCAGGGAUGGAAUUGUUGGGUUAUGGGAUGUAUACAUCUUCAGCUUUACUAGAUCAUGCCAAACUAUUUCCUAAAGUAGUUCUAAUUUAUAAGUUCACCAGCCCAUGGAAAUAUUUUAUAAACAGGAAAUGAUAUGAUCAAAUUUAUGUUUUUUAAAGACUACCCUGCUUGUUGUAUAGGGUAAGUUAAAAAGGGAUAUAGUACAUGAUAGAAGACUAUUAUCUUGUAAAUUAAAAAAAAAAACAAAAAAAUCCCCAAAAUAGACUAGAAGACUGGCUGGCUUUCCUUAGUGACAAAAUAAUUUUUGGCUUGUUUGUUUUUGUACUGGGGAAUUGAACCUAGGGGUGCUUUAUCACUGAACUACAUCCCCAGUCUUUUUCUUUUUUCUUUUGAGACAAGGUCUUUCUAAGUUGCUAAGGGUCUUGCUAUGUUUCUGAUGCUUCCCUUGAGCUUGUGAACCCCCUGCCUCAGCCUUUCAAGUCGCUGAGGGUAGAGGCCUUCACCAAUGUGCCUGAUGACAAAAAUAAUUUUAAUUAUAUCCUAUACUAUAGUUGCUAAUGGAUUCUGUUCAUAUUACUUGAUUAUUACCAACUAAUAUGUUUUGGCAUUGAUAAGCAAUUGAUUUUUGUUCUUUAUAGUUCUGUCAUAUCGAGGAUUUACAGAAUAAGGCUUGUAUAAAUUGGAGAAAUUUCAUUGGUUUCCUCAGAGCCAGCUUUUACACACACACACACACACACACACACACACACAUUUUUAGUAGUAGGUGGACACAAUUCCUUUAUUUUAUUUGUUUUUAUUUUUAUGUGGUGCCAGGGAUCGAACCCAGUGCCUCACACAUGCUAGGCAAGCUCUUUACCACUGAGCCACAACCCCAGCCCCUAGAGCCAGUUUUACUCAAAGGGCUUAUAUAAUGUAACACAUUCUGUUUAGACCUAAUAUAGCAGUAGAUUUUAUAGUAAGUGCAUUAUAAUAAUUCAUUUCAGCUUUUUAGAAGUAAUUUGGAUUAUGCAAAUUCUGCUCUCAUGAAAACUCAUAGAGGUUUAAUAAAAGUUAAUUUUUCAAACUUAAGAUGUUAAGAUGGCUGGGCUCGUGGUGCUCGCCUAUAAUUGCAGCGGCUCAGGAGGCUGAGAAAGGAGGAUCUCAGGUUCAAAGCCAGCCUCAGCAAUGGUGAAGCUAAGCAACUCAGUGAGACUCUAUCUCUAAAUAAAAUACAAUAUAGGGCUGGGGAUAUGGCUCAGUGGUCAAGUGUCCCUGAGUUCAAUCCCUGGUACCCCACCCCCACCCUGCCCAAAAAAGAAUUCUUACAGUUCUAGUAUGCUAGUAUUUGAUUAUUUAUAAUGGUUACCUAUGGAAAUGAUUGAAAUUAUAACAUAUUUAAUUGUUUAUAUUUUUCCCUUUUUGGUGAUUAAAAAAAACCUAUAAAAUGAAAUCUUUUAAUCUAACUUAAAAAAGUGUAUAGUACAGUACUGUUCACUGUUUACACAUUAUUAUAUUCAGUUUGUAAAGUUUUGAUGUAGAAUUUGAUGUAAGCUUGUGAACUCACAGAUUUGGAGUCUAACUGUAGGUCGAUGGUGUAAUAAAAUUUGAAUUUAAAAUGUUGUGACUGGCUGCCUACGAUAAUUAUGAGCAUUUUUAUUUUAUUUCAGAGUUUUCUUGGAGGCUUUUUUGGUCCCAUUUGUGAGAUUGAUGUUGUCCUUAAUGAUGGAGAAACCAGGAAAAUGGCAGAAAUGAAAACUGAAGAUGGCAAGGUGGAAAAACACUAUCUCUUCUAUGAUGGAGAAUCAGUUUCAGGAAAGGUAAAUCUUUUGUUUGGCAGAAUUACCUAGUUGUAGGAUAUUGGAAUUACUCAUCAAAAUGAUCUGCACUGUGUCUAAAUUUGAGCUCCAGAUGAAUUAUUACAGUGAUUUAAAAAAAUUAUUUGGUUUAAUUAGUUAUACAUGAAAUUAGAAUGCAUUUAUGCAUUUUGAUAUUCUGUACAUAGAUGGAAUAUAAUUUCUCAUUUUUCUGAGUGUACAUGUUGCAGAAUCAUUGGUCAUGUAGUCAUAUAUGUACAUACAUAAAGUAUUAGAGACGGAAUUUUUUUCUCCAAAGGUCAGCUAAAAUCUUUGAUUAGAACAUUUAGAAAGACUCUUAAUCCUGGAAGAAUUCUAAGUUACUCAAAAUAAUUCUCUCUUUUUUUGAUUGUGAAUUUGUUUAGCUUUGGAAAGUUUGUUUAGCUUUGGAAAGUUUGUCUAGCUUGGAGAGUUUCUCCAGAAUAGAGUUGUGAUCCUCUCAACAUUUGCUUCCCUUUCAACAUACAGUUGAGUUGUAGAGAUUGCAGUAACUCUGGUGUGCCAUUCUAAAGGUUUCUCAUUCUUUGUAACUUACCUCUCUAUAUUAUUCUUGUGUCUGUUGAUCUUAUUUUUGGUACUCCAUUGAAGACCUAAGUAUUUUUGGAAUGUGUUUGUGUGAAGGCAUCUGUAUGUCAGAUUCUGCAAGAUUUCACUUUUCCCCCCUUUUCCUUAUACACUGAUAUGUAAGAUUAUUCUUAAACCUUAGGGAAUAGGAUCAAUACUCAUUAGCUUGAGAUACUAGAGAAUAGUAAUAUCAUAGACAAAAGCAAGCUAUAAAACAUUUGAAAUAAUUUUUAAAAUACAAAAUGUUAGGAUUUUUCUUUCUUGCUUCUUCAAUUAAUUUAUACAUGUGGUAGGCAGUUUGGGAAAAUAAGGUAUAAUUCUAUUAUGGAAAUAAUUCGCAGUUAAAUUUGAAUGUGUCUUCUCUAAGUUUCCCUGUUUUUGUUUAUAUAUUUGUAGCACAGUCUUAUGUCAUUUAAUGACAGAGAUAUGUUUUUGACAGAUGUGUCUUUAUAGCCUUUUUUUUUUUUUUUGAUGGUGGUGCUGGGGAUUGAACCUAGGGCCUUGUGCAUGCAAGGCAAGCACUCUACCCACAGAGCUAUAUCCCCAGCUUGACAGAUGUGUCUUUAGGUGAUUUGGGCAUUGUGUGAGCAUAAUAGAAUGUAUGUGCACAAACCUAGUGGUAUGAAGUUCUACACACCUAGGCUAUAUGGUAUAGGCUACUUAAAUUUUUUUUUUUUUCACUUUUUAAGUUUUUUUAUUGUUGAAAACUAAGAUACAAAUAUAUUAGCCUAGGCUUACACAGAAUCAGAAUUAUCAACAUCAUUGUCUUUGAUUUUCCCAUCUUGUCCCACUGGAAGGUCUUCAGGGGCAAUAACAUAGUUGGAACUGUCAUCUCCUAUUAUAACAAGUGCCUUCUGGAAUCCCUCCUUAAGGACCUGCCUGUUUUACAGUUAUCAUUAUUUUUUUUAAUAAGUAGAAGGAGUACACUCUAAUAAGUAUAGAAAAUAUGAACCAGUAAAUAGUCAUUUAUUAUCAUUAUCAGUUUUUAUAUACUAUGUAUAAUUGUAUAUGCAGUAGGUUUGUUUACUCCAGUAUUACUAAAAGCAUGUACGUAAUAAUUUGCAGCAUCAUGAUGGCUACUCAGUUACUAGGUGAUAGAAAUUUACUCACUUUAUUAUAAUCUUAAGGUACCACCAUAUGCAGUUUGUCCUUUGUGGGAAGCCAUCCUGACACGUGACUGGGCGACUCCCGUUAAGGGUCUGAGGCUUCUGGCUGUGUCGGAAUAUUCCCGGCCCUUUCCUGAUGAGAGAACCCGUCCGUGUGGGGGUGUGACUGACCACUGACCCCGGGGGCCCAAUCACUGACCCUGACCUUGGAGUGCAGUCCCCCCUCAACCUUCAUUGGAUGGAAUUAUCCCCUGAAUUUCUUGUUCCCCAAUAAAAGGCUACUCCCUGGCGUGUUCACUCUCUCUCUCCUGCUAGCCCUGAGUAAUCCUUGCUGCCCUGCUGGGCGGUUAGAGGUUGGAGUCAGAGAGGGGAGCUGUCUCGGACCUGGCAAUAGAAAUAAGGUAACUGAGUCUGUGUGUUUUAUUUCGAUCUCUUCUAACUAACUUUAUGCCAAGAACCUCAUUAAUGAAACCAUUGCGCAGGCCACGUGGUAGAGUCCUUGACCAAAUUAUCAUGUGGUACAUGAAAGUAGUUUCUAGUUUUGUUUUUUUUUUUGUUUUUUUUGGCAGAGCUGGAGAUUGAACCCAGGGCCUUGUGCAUGCAAGGCAAGCACUGUACCAACUGAACUAUAUCCCUAGCCCCAUUAGUUUCUAGUUUUUAAGAUAGCUUUUAGUAUAUAAUAUCAUCUUUGAUAAUAUGGACAUCUGUAUGCAUACAUUUUUCUCCAGAUUCUACAGGUCAAGAUUGUUUACUUAGAAUAGAUUCCUGGAAAAAGUUGCUGGGCCAAAAGACAUGAGUAUUUGCAGGGUCGUAAUACAUAUUAAUUUGGAAAAUUUAUGUGCGUUAAAUUACAUGAUCUACAUAUAUUGUCUUGUUUCAUUCAAGGAAGCAUUGAAUAUGAUCACUUUAUUUACACAAUAUAUUUAUUUUGUUUAUUUGUUUUAUGUUGUGCUGGGAAUUGAACCCAGUGCCUUGUGCAUGCUAGGCAAGCACUCUACCACUGAGCCCAGCCCGAAUAUGAGCACUUUAUAAUGUAAUGUGGUUCAGUGGUUAAGUGCCUCUGGGUUCAAUCCCGCCCCCCCCCCCCCCCAAUUUAUGGAAUAUAAUAACCUUGCCUACAUUUUCAUUUUUUAGUUAUAGGUGGACACAAUAUCUUUAUUUUAUUUUUAUGUGGUGCUGAGGAUCGAACCCAGUUUCUUACAACGCUAGGCAAGUGCUCUACCUCUGAGCCAGGACCCCAGCUCCCAUUUUCUGUUUUUUAAUAUUUCGGAUUUAUUGUCUUUAGUAUAAAGUCUUGCUGACAAAGCCUAAUUUUAUUUCACUUAAAUGUUGUAAUGCCCUUUUUGCCUUGAUACCCAAAGGAUAUCUUUUUCUCUCUUAUUUUUUUGUGGUGCUGGGCCUCAUACAUGGUAGGUAAGUACUCUACCACUGAUCUACAGUUCAAGCCAACAUUCUCCCCCCUCCUUUCUUUCUUUCUCUGGGGAUUGAACCCAGGGGCGUUUUAACCACUGAGCCACAUCCCAGCUCUUUUUACUUUUUAUUUUGAGACAGGGUCUUGCUUAAUUGCUGAGGCUGACAUUAAAUUUGUAUCCUCCUGCCUCAGCCUCCCAGGUAGUUGGGACUACAGGUAUGGGCCACCAUGUCUUGCUAAUAUUUUUGUUUAUAGAUGAGGUAAUAGUGGUUCAUAGGUUGAAUAGCAUGUUUGAAAAUGUACAAUCAUUGGUGUGAGUAAAACAGGUUACAGGAUAAUAUACUAUACUAUUUUUUUUCUUUUUUACAGUAUUGGGGAUUAAAUCCAGGAGUGCUUUACUACUGAGCUCUAUCACCAGUCCUUUUUUUUUUUUUUGAGACAGGGUAUUGUCUAGUUGCUGAGGCUGAACUUGCAAUCCUCCUGCCUUUGAAGUACCUGGAAUUACAGGUAUACACCAUUAUACCUGGCAGGAAAACAUUUUACAUUUAGAAUAAGAAAAUAAAUAAGGAAAGAAUAUGCUUGGCAUGUCAUUUAUUGUAAUAUAACAAAUGCAAAAAAAAAAAAGAGUUAAUAUUUUGCUUUUUUUUUUUUUUUAAAGAGGGAGAGAGAGGGGGAGAGAAAGAGAAUUUUUUUUUUAAUAUUUAUUUUUUACUAUUUGGCGGACACAACAUCUUUGUCUGUAUGUGGUGCUGAGGAUCGAACCCAGGCCGCACGCAUGCCAGGCAAGUGCGCUACCGCCUGAGCCACAUCCCCAGCCCAAUAUUUUGCUUUUUUUAACAUCUAAAUUGUUUUUUAAUUGGAAAAGGUAGAAUCAUUAGAGUAAAAGCUAAUUAUAAUUAUGAAAAGUAAAAAUAAUCUAGUUUUAAAACAUUCUGGUGGCUAGAUCAGAUGAAUGUUAUGCUAUAUAGUACAGAGAGAAUUUUGUAGAACUGAUUGCAGAAAUCCCUCAGUAAUUCUGGAAAAUGAGAAAAGUUUUAGAAUAUAGGAAGAUACAAUAUUAUAUAUUUAAAAUGAGGUAAACAAUUUAUAUUAGUUAAACUUAAUAUUGAUUCCUGGUAUAACUGUAGAAUGGAUGAUUUAUGAGCAGUUUGAAAUGAAAACUUAAAACAAGCAUUCAUUAUAUGUGAUCCAGUAUGUGUAAGAACAGGUCUUAUCUCACAAGUGUGCUAGUGUAAUAAAAAGAUGAUUGGGAUACAGUUGUAAUAUUUAGCCUUUACUUGUCUAUUCUUUUAAUAGGAAUUCUGGAGAGUCAUUUAACUUCCUGGAUUUCACCAACAAAUUGUGGAAGUUAAACUGGAUCAUUGGUUUCCAAACUUGGCUUUGCAUCUCUUUGGUAUCUUCAUAUAUUUAGUAUUAUCUUGGAUCUUAGAGGUUUGACAUGCACCCAAAGGAAGAAUAAUUUCCUUUUAUAGUAUUCCUGAUUUGUUAGUUUCCGUAUGCUCACUUUACAGGAUGGGAAUUCUAUUAUUCUGAAACCACUAUCCACCCUGCUGUUUAGAAAUAUACAUAAUAAAUCUUUCUCUUUUUUUCUGAACCACUGUCUUGUUUAUCAUAAGUCUUCUCUAAAUUAAAUAUGCUAUUUUCCAUUUCCUUUAUUCCUGAGGAAAUAUGGAUUUUGAGUCUUAAUCAUCCUGAUUGCUUUCUUUUAGGAGGAUUGAGUUAUCUGGCAUUCCUGUGUUUCCAGAGCCUGAAACCAUAUUUAAUUCAGCAACAAUGGAACUGUAGACUUUUUAAAACAUUUAAGUCAGUUCUACAUUCUUGUAAGCAUUCCACAGCUCUCCCCAUAAAAUGACUGGGCUACCAUUUACAUUAGUAUUUCUAAAAUGAAAUACUUAGGUGUAACAAAAUAUGUACACUGUCUGUAUGAGGAAAACUAUAAAACUUUGAUGGGCUGGGGCUAUAGCUCAGUGGCAAAGCGCUUGCCUCGCAUGUGGGAGGCACUGGGUUCGAUACUCAGUACAACAUAAAAAAAUACAAAAAUAAAAUAAAAGUAUGCUGUCCAUCUACAACUACAAAAAACCAAAAAAACCUGUAAACUUUGAUGAAAGAAAUCAAAGAUAAAUAAACAGAAAGAUAGUCUAUGUUAAUAGAUCGGAAGACACAAUAUUAAGAUAUCUGUUUCUCACCUGAUCUAUAGAUUCAACUCUAUCCCCAUAAAAAAUUAGACACUUUACUUUGUAGUUAUCAAUAAACAGAUUCUAAAAUUUAUAUAUAAAUACAAAAGUGUAUGUAAAUAGUAAGUAAUAUUGAAGAAGAACUAAGUUGGAGAACUGACAUUACCGAGUUUCAAGACUUACUACACAUAGUAUACUCAAGACAGUCUGGUAUUGGUGAGAGAAGAGAGAAAUAAAUCAAAGGGAUGAAGUAGAGUCCAGAAAGACCCACACAAAUAUAGUGAACUGCUCUUUGAUAAAGGAGCAAAGACAAUUUAAUGGAAAACAAAUACAUUUUUUUUUUAACAAAUGGUGCUGGAACAGAUAGAUUUUAGAUAUAACACCAAAGGCAUGGUCCAUGAAAAAGGACUGUAAGGUGGACUUUGUGAAAAUGUAAAUACUUCUGCUUUGAGAAACACAGUUAAAGAUGAAAAGAUAAGCCAUAUUUACAAAACACAUCCAAUAAAGAACUUUUAUCUAGCUAGGCACUGUGGUGCACACUGUUAAUCCCAGCUACUUGGAAAGUGGUGACAGGAGGAUGGCAGAUUUAAGGCCAUCCUCAGCAAGUUAGAAUACCCUGCCUCAACAUACAAUAAAAAAGGCUGGGGGUAUAGCUCAGUGAUAAAGUGCCUCCCUAGCCUAUGCAAGGCCUUGGGUUCAUCCUCAGUUAUCUCAGAAGGAGAGGCUGGUGGUGGUAUUUGGGGGGACACUUGUAUCCAAAAUACACAAAGAACUCUUAAAACUCAACAAUCCAGUUAAAAUGUGGGCAAAAGAUCUGAACAGACACCUUACCAAAAAUGAUAUACAUAUGACAAAUACAUGUGGAAUGAUAUUUAACACUAUAGCAUUAGGGAAUUGCAAAUUCAAACAGUAAUGAGAUACCUGUUGAAAUGGCAAAAAUCCAACAUUGAGAAGAUCAAAUUAUGGUGAGGAUGUGAACCAACAGGAACUCACUCACAGGCAGUGAACAAAUGCAGAAUGGCAUAGCCAGCUGGGUGUGGUGGUGCUCACCUGUAAUCCCAGCUACUCAGGCUGAGGCAGGAAGAUUGAAAGUUUAAGGCCAGCCUGGACCUUGUCUCAAAAACUAAAAUGGGUUGGGGAUCAUGCUUCUUAGGAUUCACCCAAAUUGAAAGCACAUGUCUGCACAUGUGUACUUAUAACAGCUUUAUUUAAAUUACCCAAACUUGGAAACAAUCAAGAUGGCCUUCAGAAAGGGGGAAAAAAAGUCAUUUAAAAAAAUAGGUACUUGGGGCUGAGGUUGUGGCUCAGUGAUAGAGUACCUGUCUAGCACGUGCGAGGCAUUGUGUUCUAUCCUCAGCACCACAUAAAAAUACAUAAGUAAAAUAAAGGUAUUGUGUCCAACUAUGACUAAAAAAUAAUUUAAAAAAAAGUACUUGAUUUUGUCAUAGAAGUUGACUAGUUGUUUUUCAUUUGGAUAUCCAGUUGACUCAGGCAUUUAUUGAAAAACUAUCCUUUAUCACUUCACCAUAAUGCCACCUUUGUCACACAUAGAUAGAAAUCAUUUGGGGUCUGUUCUGGCCUCUGUUCCAUAGGCCCAUUUGUGGCAUAUACUUUUCACUUUUCUUUUGUAACAUUUUUUUUUUUUUUUGAGAUGGAGUGUUGCUAAGUUGCUAAAGUUAGUCUUGAACUUGAGAUCCUCUUGCCUUAGCUUUCUGAGGUGCUGGGAUUACAGGCAUGUGCCACAAUGUCUGGUUUGCUUUUCUUUUUUUUUUUUUUAAUUAGUUGUUCAAAACAUUACAAAGCUCUUGACAUAUCAUAUUUCAUACAUUUGAUUCAAGUGGGUUAUGAACUCCCAUUUUUACCCCGUAUACAGAUUGCAGAAUCACAUCGGUUACACAUCCACAUUUAUACAUACUGCCAUACUAGUGUCUGUUGUAUUUUGCUGCCUUUCCUAUCCCCUACUAUCCCCCCCCUCCCCUCCCCUCCCCUCUUCUCUUCUCUCUCUACCCCAUCUACUGUAAUUAAUUUCUCUCUCUUGUUUUUUUUUUUUUCCCUUUCCCCUCACCUCCUCUUAUAUGUAAUUUUGUAUAACAAUGAGGAUCUCCUUCCAUUUCCAUGGAAUUUCCCUUCUCUCUCCCUUUUUGUUAAAAAAAAUUUCUCCCUUUUCUUAAAAAAAUAAAAAAGAAAGGGAAAAAAGUAGUCUUUUUGAGUGGUAAGUCACAUAACAUAAAAUUCAUCUUGUGGAGGUUAGUGGUAUUUACUAUGUUGGCAGACUUAUGUAACAUCACAACUAUCUAAUUUCAAAAAGAAACUUCAUACAAUUAGCAGUCACUCCCUGUGAACUCUGCAAAUCUACUUUCUCAAUUUUUGUCUAUUCUGGAUAUUUCAUGAAUGGACGCAUACUCUGUGGCCUUGUCUGGUUCCUUUCACUUAGCAUAAUCUUUUGAAGGUUCAUCAGGGUGUAGUAAAUAUAGUAUGAAGUACUAUAUUUUUUUUUUUACUAUGAAGUAAAAAAAUAUAUAUGUAACAUGUACCAUUUUACCAUCUUAAAGUAUACAAAUUCAGUAACAUUAAUUAUGUUAAUAAUUUGGCAUUCAUAGUUGCUAUUUUCCAAAGGUUUUUCAUUACCCCAAACAGAAACUUUGUAUCCAAUUNNNNNNNNNNNNNNNNNNNNNNNNNNNNNNNNNNNNNNNNNNNNNNNNNNNNNNNNNNUUUUUUCCCUUUCCCCUCACCUCCUCUUAUAUGUAAUUUUGUAUAACAAUGAGGAUCUCCUUCCAUUUCCAUGGAAUUUCCCUUCUCUCUCCCUUUUUGUUAAAAAAAAAUUUCUCCCUUUUCUUAAAAAAAUAAAAAAGAAAGGGAAAAAAGUAGUCUUUUUGAGUGGUAAGUCACAUAACAUAAAAUUCAUCUUGUGGAGGUUAGUGGUAUUUACUAUGUUGGCAGACUUAUGUAACAUCACCACUAUCUAAUUUCAAAAAGAAACUUCAUACAAUUAGCAGUCACUCCCUGUGAACUCUGCAAAUCUAUUUUUGUCUAUUCUGGAUAUUUCAUGAAUGGACGCAUACUCUGUGGCCUUGUCUGGUUCCUUUCACUUAGCAUAAUCUUUUGAAGGUUCAUCAGGGUGUAGUAAAUAUAGUAUGAAGUACUAUAUUUUUUUUUUUACUAUGAAGUAAAAAAAUAUAUAUGUAACAUGUACCAUUUUACCAUCUUAAAGUAUACAAAUUCAGUAACAUUAAUUAUGUUAAUAAUUUGGCAUUCAUAGUUGCUAUUUUCCAAAGGUUUUUCAUUACCCCAAACAGAAACUUUGUAUCCAAUUAAUUGUCCCCCAUAUUCCCCUUCUCCCAACUUCUGGUAAACUUUAAUCCACUUUGUCAGUUUGCCUAUUCUAGAUAUUUUGUAAAAGUGGUCAUAUUUAUCCUUUAGAGCUUGGAUUAUUUCAUGUAGCAUAUUUCCAGGGAUCACCCAUAUUAUAGCAUGUAUCAGAAUGCCAUUUUUUGACUGAAUGAUAUUCCAGUAUACCAUACUCAUGUGUAAAAGAAUUUACCACAUUUUAUGUAUUCAUUUACUAGCUGAGGAUAUUUGGGCUUUUACUUUUUGGUAUUGAGAAUAAGCUGCUAUGGACAUUGAAGUACAAAUUUUAUGUAAACAUAUAUAUAUUCACUUCUCUUGGUUUUAACUUAAGAGUGGAAUUGCUAGGUCAUAUUUCAAGUCUGUGUUUCACUUUCCCAAAGCAGCUGCACCAUUUUGCAUUCCCUCCAGCAAUGUACGAAGGUUCUAUUUCUCCACUUUCUUGGCGAUACUUUUUUUUUUUUUUUAAAUUAGGGCAUCUAAAGUGGAUGUAAAAUGGUAUCUCAUGGUUGUGACUUGCAUUUCUCAAUUAACUGAUAACAUUGAGUAUUUUUUUUUCUUGUGCUUUGUGUCAUUCAUAUAUCUUCUUUGAAGAAAAGUCUGUUCAAAUCCUUUGACCUUUUUUUUUUUUUUCCUUUUGGUGGUACUGGGGAUUGAACCCACUACCACUAAGCUACAUCCCUAGCCCUUUUUAUUUUUAUUUUAUGACAGAUUGUCUUGCUAAAAAAGUUGCUGAGUUUGGCCUGGAACUUGAGAUCCUCCUGCCUUUGCCUCCUGAGUCUCCACACCUGGCAUUAACCAUUUGAGUUAAUGCUUGUGUAGAGUUCUUUUUUUUUAAAUUUUUUUAGUUGUUGAUGGACCUUUAUUUUAUUCAUGCGGUGCUGAGAAUCCAACCCAGUACCUCAUACAUGUGAAGCAAGCGCUCUACACUGAGCCACGACCCCAGUCCUUGUGUGGGGUUUUAACUUCAUUCUUUUAAAUGCUGAUAUUUAUUUUCCCUGGCAUCACUUAUUGGAAAGAAUAUUCUUACUCCAUUGAAUUGUUUCGGCACCUUUGUGGUAAAUGCUUUUAAAAGUUAAAAACUGAUAAUGUUGUCUGUCAGAAGUCUUUUGGAGUAUUUUUGAAGCAUUCUUUAAGAUAAUUAGAAAUUUUUUAGAUUAUUAAAAAAUAGGAAAAUUAUUAAAAGCUACUUAUUCAGGUUCUUUUUAUCCUUACCUUGGAUAUUUACUGCUUUGGUUCAUGUCAAAUGGCAAUUGGACUGUACCCAAUUUUUUUUAUGCUUUAAGAAAUACAGUUGAGGGGCUGGGGUUGUGGCUCAGUGGUAGAGUGCUUCCCUAGCAUGUGUGAGGCACUGGGUCCGAUUCUCAACACCACAUAUAAACAAAUAAAUUAAUAAAGGUCCAUCAAUAACUAAUAAAAAUUAAAAAAAAAAAAGAAAUACAGUUGAAUAGGCAAAUAAUGGUAGAGUUCUUACUUAGGCUUCUUUAUUUUGAAGUGCUAAAGCCAGAAUUGAACUGAAAAUUACAGGUUUAUUUCUUUGAGAUAUACAUGGUACCUCAAUAUUAACUUGCUUUCUGAGACACAAUUAUACUUUUAAUUAUUUUUGAAAUGUGUUAAGCCACAUAAGAUUAAGAUAUGAUUAUUUUGGAUAAAAUGUUACUUUGACCAGGAAAACUUUUGUCUAAAUGAUUUUACAGGUUCAAAUGGAUUAAAGAAAUUUCCUGUAAAUCUACAGUAUUUCCCUCUAAAUUACACAAAAGAGUUAUCCUCGUUCUAAGUUUCUGUGCAGGGAUUUUUUAAGACUAGCCAUUGCACAGUUCUCUAUAUUAAUUCAUGUUCUGAAGGGAUUCACUUUUCCUUGACUUUAUAUGACAGCUGAUCAAGAACAGGUAUUAUUUUUCCCUCCCCUUUUUACAUUUUAAAUUUGAAACUGAGUAAGGAAAAAAAAAAACUAUUUUGAGUAAGUUAUUUACUUAUUUAUUUUUGGUACCAGGAAUCGAACCCAGGGGCACUUAACCACUGAGCCACAUCCCCAGUCCUUUAUAUUUUUUGUUUUGAGACAUGGUCUUGCUAAGUUGCUUAGGGCCUCACUAAGUUGCUGAGACUGGCAUUGAACUUGAUAUUCUCCUGUCUCAGCCUUCCCAGUUGCUGGAAUUACAGGUGUGUGCCACCACAUCUAGUCAUAUAAAUUAUUUAGAAAACAAAAAAGAAAUACAUUUGGACAAGGUUUCCUUUUUAUUUUUUUAAAAUUUUUUAGUCAUAGAUGGACACAAUACCUUUUAUUUAUUUAGUUUUAUGUGGUGCUGAGGAUCAAACCCAGUGCCUCUCUUGUGCUAGGCAAGCAUUUUACCACUGAGCCACAGCCUCAGCCUGCAAGGUUUCCCCUUUAUAAUACAGCUUAUGUUCAUCUGAGUAAUUUUGAGAUAACUGUUUAAUUGAUUAUUGAUGUACAUUUAUUAUUUUUUAAUUAUAAAAAUUUUGGUGAGUGGUUUAUCUGGGUUUUAUUUUGGGGGGGGAUGAUAUUCAUAAGUUAGGAUUCCUUAAUUGGGAUAUUCUUUGAAAAGGCAAAAAAAAAGCCACAAAAUAUUAAUAUUCAAGUUCUUGACUUGUCUACAGUUUAAUUCCUUUUGUGUUCUGUUCUUUGCUGUGAAUUUUUGAAGUGAAAAAAGCAAAAAUUCACUUUGAACCAAGAAGACGACUCCUCUCUCUUGUUUAUGCAGUUUCUAAAUGGCAGCUUUAAGAGAGAACUGUUGUGCUGAGUGUGGUGGCACACACUUGUAAUCCCAGCUACUCAGGAGGCUAAGGCAGGAGAAUGGCAAGUUUGAAGCCUGUCUGAGCAAUUUAGUAAGACCUUGUCUCAAAAUAAAAAGGGUUGGGGGUAUAGCUCAGUGGAAGAGCCCUUGCCUAGCAUUCACAAGCCCCUUGGUUCAAUCCCUGGGUACUGAGAAGAAAGAAAAACAAGGAAUUGUUUUCCUUCUCCAUUGUUUUUGCAUGUGAAAACAAUCCUUGUGAAACUGUUUGGGUAGUGCUGAGAAGUUACUCAUUCUAUGGCUUUUAAAAAAAAGGUACACAGUACCUUUAUUUAUUUAUUUAUUUAUUUAUUUAUUUAUUUUUAUGUGGUGCUGAGGAUUGAACUCCAGUGCCUCACACAUGCCAGGAAGGUGUUUUACCACUGAGCCCCAGCCCCAGCCUCUAUAAAUAAUGCCUUGAAGUGUAGUACAAGUGUCAGGCCACCUUCACUGAACUGUAUCUGUUCCCUGUUGCAAAAGUGAUCAAAGGUAUAUGUUUAGUCUUGAGAUUAUAGGCAUUUAUAGUUUAAUUUUUAAAGCAAAGAAGAGUUUCAUAGUAUCUUUUCAUCAACAUAGAUAUAGACCGUGUUCUUCUGGCAGCAAGUGGAAAUUAAUCUUGGAUAACCAUAGUAUCUAGCAACAAUAAUGUACAGAUACUUUGAUGUUUCACUGUGAAUAACCAAGUAAAUGGAGUGUAAAACAUCAAUUUUAUGUUUCUCUUGAGCACAAUGUAGAAUUUCACUCCUUAUAUAUAUUCUGAAGGUAUCAUUAUUUGAGGCAUUUACAGAAGACCUCAAAUAAUGAUAUCUGAGCUUUCAGACUGUUUAUUGGAGCAGUGAAUAUGUUUUACAUAUAGAUUAGGUUUCUCUGUAUGGCCUUGUAAACAUAUACACACAUUCUCAAGUAUAUCCACAGAAAGAAAUUAAUAAUAUCAAAAGGAAAAUAGUAAUUUUAAAUUGGAGAAACCUGGUGGAUUGCUUUAACAAGUGAUCAGAGUUGAAUCACCAAUAUUGGGACAAACUGUAUCUUGUACUUCCUAAUUUUGAUACUCUGAGAACACAGGUAUUCUUGCCAAAAAUGCAUGAGUUUAAUCUACUUGGUUCUAUAAAUCAACUGAUUUGUAUUCUUAAAAAAAAACUCAAGGUCAAGCUGGGUGUGGUGGCCUAUAAUCCCAGUAACUCCAGAGACUGAGGCAGGAAGAUGGCAGGUUUGAGACCAGUCUGGGCAACUUAGUGAGACCCUAUCCCAAAAUAAAAUUUUAUAAAGGGCUGGGGAUGUAGCCCAGUGAUAGGGCACUCCUGGGUGCUGUUUAAAAAAAAAAAAAGUCAAGAAGGGGAAUGAUUGAGGAAUGUUGUAGGUUAAAGGUGACUGAUACACACCACAACUAUAUCUAUGUGUGAACCUGGAGUGAAUCCUGAACAGGAAAGGAUAUAAAGUACAUUAUUGGGACAAUUAAUAGAGAUUGAAUAUAGAUCAUAGAAUAUUAUACUUUUUUGAUUUUGGUAAUUAACACCGUGUUUAUGUAAAAAUGUUCUUUUCCUUAGGAAAUAUACAUGCAGUAUAAUGGAACAUGCUGUCUCCAACUAAUUUUUGGUUAUUAAAAAAAAGUGAUGGAUGCAUGCAUGUACAUGUAUAUAUUGAGAAGAUAAUGAAGCAGAUGAGGAAAAAUAUAAACAUAGGGUGAAUCUGGGUAAAGAUUAUGUGGGAUUUCCUAGUGCUGUUCUUGCAACUUUUUUGCAAGUUUGAAAUUAUAAUAAAAAGCCAUGUAAAUAUAACUGAGUGGUGUUAAAAUUCUUUGAUCCAGUUCAUCAUUGUGGUUUCAAUUCUUUUUCUAUGUUCCUUUGCAGAAUAGCCUUUAAAUGAAAAUGCUUUGGCUGGGGAUAUAGCCCAGUAGUAGAGCCCCUUGCCUAGCAUGUGUGAGGCCCUGGGGUUCAGUCUCUGGUACUGCAAAACAACAAAAACAAAAAUGGAAAUGCUUAAUUAUGCCUUUCAAUUCUGGGGUUCUUCACGUUGCAGAAUAGCAUGCAUUAGGCUUAAAGCAGCUGUGUAUUAAAAUCAGUGGGAGAUCAAGGAAAAAUAAAAGAGUUCAGGCAGGUGGUGAGAAAACUGAAUAGAUAUACAUUUCUACUUUAAUAGUGUGGUUUCAUAAUAUUCUUUGGGAAAAAUGUAAAUUUUUAAAAUAUCAGACAUAGCCAUGUUCAAGCAAAGACAUUAUCAAAAACUGCCAAAUGGACUUUUUUUUUUUUUUUGUGUGUGUGUGUGUGUGGUGCUGGGGAUUGAACCCAGGGCCUUAUGCAUGUGAGGCAAGCACUCUACCAACUGAGCUAUAUCCCCAGCUCCCCAAAUGAACAUGUUUUUAAAAAUAUAUUUUUAGAUGUUGAUGGACCUUUAUUUUUAUUCAUUUAUUUAUAUGCGGUUCUGAGGAUUGAACCCAGUGCCUCCUCACACAUGCUAGGCAAGUGCUCUACCACUGAGCCACAACCCCAGGCCAACAUAGACAUUUUUAAAAGUACAGGAUGAAUUAUUUCUUAGCUUGAGACCUGAAAUGUUUCAGAUUUUGGAAUUUUUUGGGUUUUAGAAUAUUGAUGUAGAUUUUUAUCAUUUGAACAUAUGCUCAAAAGUUUAAGCUUUUGGAGUAGUCUGAAUUUUGGAUUUCAUCUAACCUGUUUUUAUCUAUCAAUCGAUCUAUAUCUAUCUGUGCUGGGAACUGAAUCCAGGGGCACUCUGCCACUGAGCUACAUCCCCAGCCCUUUUUAUUUAUUGAGACAGGGUCUCUCUAAGUUGCCCAGGCUGGUCUUGAAGUUGAAAUCCUCCUGCCUCAGCUCCUGAGUAGUUGGGAUUCCAGAUGCGCACCACUGAUUGAAGAAAAGCAUUGUUUAAAGAGAAGCUUUUUAGAGUCAUAUUGCCAGUAUUUGUUAUAGUAAAGAAACCUGGGGGCUGAGGAUGUAGCUCAGUGGGAAGUCAGGUGGGAGGUCUUGUUCUCACAGGUCUUGCUCAGUGGGAGGUCUUGCUUAGCAUGUGCAAGACCUGAGUUCAAUCCCCAGCAUCACACCCUGUAUGUAUAUUCUCUGUGUGCUUUAUUGGUACAAAGUAGUGAAUAGUCUAAUUACUGCCUGGCUUAUGAAACAGCUAGGAGUUGCACUUGUUUUUAUUAUUUGUGAUUUGAACCUAAUAUUUUUAGUGUGUGUGUGAAGCUUGUCUAAGUACUUUUUGUUCUUUCUUUUUUUUUUCUUUGACAGUAUUGUUAGCCCAUUGUAAAAACAAAAUUUGAAAACUAUAAAAAAGAAAAAAAAUGACCCAUAAUCACUCUUUCUAAAAGUAACUGCUGUUAAGAAUAUUUUCUUGGGCUGGGGAUGUGGCUCAAGCGGUAGCGCGCUCGCCUGGCAUGCGUGCGGCCCGGGUUCGAUCCUCAGCACCACAUACAAACAAAGAUGUUGUGUCCGCCGAAAACUGAAAAAUAAAUAUUAAAUAUUAAAAAUUAAAAAAAGAAUGUUUUCUUUUUGUAGUUUCAAAAAACAUAGUGGGCAUUAUACUUGUAUACAAUUUGACCAUGCUUCCUUCAUGUAACAUAUCAUGCACAUUGUCCCACAUCAUUAAAAAUUCUUUUGACACUGUUAUUUUUAAACUUUUAAUAAUAAUCCAUUAUAUGAUGAACUACAAUUUACUUCUUUGUUCUGAGAUAAUAAUUUUGAAGGCAAAUAACAUUGGUUAUGAGAUAUGCAUAUGGAUGAAUAUUUUAGUGCAUAUACUUUAUAAGCAGAAGUAACGAGACCUCUGUUUUUCUUGAUUUUUAUUCUUUUGAGAAGCAUUGUUUGAAGAAAAGCUUUUAAGAGUCAUAUUCAGUAUUUGUUAUAGUAAAGAAACUUGGGGGCUGAGGAUGUAGCUCAGUGGGAGGUCAUGUGAUUAGCAUGUGAAAGACCCUGGGUUCAAUCCCCAGCAUCCCCCCCCCCCCCCAACCACCCAAAAAAAAAGGAACCUGGAGGAAAUUUUUUUUUUUAUAAAAAUAUUCUUUUGUUAGUUAAUUCUUAAACAUUUGGCAAUUUAUUUCUGAUAUAUGUAUUAUGCAGAUGUUUUUCAAAUUAAUUAAAAAUUUAAUGUUUCUACUUGGCAGAUAUGAAUUUAAGAACUUUGAGACUAUUUACCUUAAAAUUAUGUAAGAUAAAUUACAAUUUAGAUCUUAAGACAUUCUAUAAUUUUAGGAUGAGUUGCAGACUGAGGGCAGUCAGCAUUACCUUUAAUGUCAGGAAGCAUAGUAGUAUAUUCUUGAUUAUAAAACACUGAAAGUGAUCUUUCACAUUAAUUCUUGGAAUUAGUGAUUAUUUUCACAUUAAAAUAUUAUUUUAUUAGUCUUAGAAUUACUUAUUUGACCAGAAAAUACACAUGAAUAGUUGAAGGUCUUCCCUUUCUUUGAGUCUUUUUGCAUUUCUUCAGCAAUAACGAGGGAUUCCUUCCUAAUAAAGCAGACACUUUUAAGUGUAUGUGUAAUAGGUUCAUUAGGGAUUGUGUAUGAAUAAAUCACAUCUCCUCUGGUGCUUAAGGUCAUCCUGAUUUAGGUAUAUGGUGGCGUCUCAUAUUUCAUAAAUGAGUACCUGAAAUAUAUAUUGCAUUCAUCUGGAAGGAGUCUAAUAGACCCACUUAAAGUACUGUUAACAUCUCUUAUAAUUUCAUGUUUUGGCAGGUAAACCUAGCCUUUAAGCAACCUGGAAAGAGGCUAGAGCACCAAGGAAUUAGAAUUGAAUUUGUAGGUCAAAUUGGUGAGUUUUAAAAUAGUAUUACUUUUUCUUUUGAUAACUUGAGUUUGAAGAGGGUUGGAUUUGGCACUUAAAUAAUUAAGAGUUAAACUUGGUGGAAGGAAGGAAUUGAUUUUGCAUAAUAAAAGAGGACUUAAUAUAUUAAAUCAGAAUGUUUCUUUUAAUUGUAUUAAAUUGCAUUUGACUCAUUCUGCCUGUAUUAUUGGAUUUUACUACUAAAACUGAAAGAUAUUAUAUAAACUACUAGCCUUGAAAAAUCAAUUGGCUCACUCACCAAAAUUUUCAUCUGUCUACAUUUUCACCAACCUUACAACUACCAGCUUCACCUUCAUUUUUCAUUCUCUAAUUAUCCAUGCCAUUUGUCUUCCUGACCUAGUGUGUGCCUGUAGCCAGACUCACCUGGUAACAGAAAAUUCCAUGUGAAAAGGAAAGGGAUGAUUUAUUCUUAGAUCAAAUUGUGUACAUUUCCAUAUAUGUAUUUUAGAGACAUUCUUGAUUUAGCUGGGAGUUAAAUUGUAUAUAAAUCUUUUAUACUAUAUAUUCAGAAAAAAGAGGGUUAGGAGUAUGGCUCAGAGAGAGGUAGAGUGCUUGCCUAAGCAUGUGCAAGACCCUGGGAUCAGAUCCCCCCAUACCAUAGAUAGAAAAGAAAGUAUGUCUUUUCAAUACUGUCUACAAAGCUAGGUUUUUAAAUCUAGUUUUCUAAGUUUUACUGUACAUUUUUAAAGCAUCAAAAAUGGAAUGGGUAGAUAUUUGUUUACAUAUUAUUCUGAAUGAGAUUGUACUUAAGGGUCAAAUUGUAAUAAUUAACUGAUAGUUGGUUUUAUUCUUUUGUGUAUUACAGUUUUAUCAAGGUAAUAUAUUUGUCCAAAACAAAACAACAAAACAGAAUUUUUGCCUUAAAGGGAAGAAGUUCAAAUAAUUGCUGGUAAUGUGUCAAACAGCUUUAUAUUGGGGGAAAUCCCUAACUACAUCAAAAGGAAUGAACUCAUUUCUGAUAGGAAUUUUCAUUGUGCUAUGCUUCUUGAAUUUAGUGAUGCCUAGGUGGAGCAUAAUAAUGGGGAUGAUAAAAUUCAGAUCAUAGUUCUAGUUUAUUAGAGACAAAUCCAACUAAUUCUUUUGGUAAAAAUUAUUUGCUUUGGAGGUAGAAGUUUGGGUUUUAUUGAAAUGGACAUUAAAAUAUAAUUAGUCUUUUGCUGUUUUAAAUUUCUUAGAACUCUUCAAUGACAAGAGUAAUACCCAUGAAUUUGUAAACCUAGUGAAAGAACUAGCCUUACCUGGAGAACUGACUCAGAGCAGAAGUUAUGAUUUUGAAUUUAUGCAAGUUGAAAAGCCAUAUGAAUCUUACAUCGGUGCCAAUGUCCGCUUAAGGUAUGAAUGUAUUACAAACUAUAAGCAGAGUCAAAACCAGAAAGUAAUGGCUCUUAUUAAUGUCUUAUUUGAACUCCUAGUUGUAAUUCUGUACUGAAGAUUUAAGGUUGGAAAAUGUUCUGCACAUUACUUUGUUUGGCUAGGACUGAUCUGAAGAGUUUUUUUUUUUUUUUUUGAUACCAGGGAUUGAACUCAGGGGCACUCAACCACUGAGCCACACCCCCAGCCCUAAUUUGUAUUUUAUUUAGAGACAGGGUCUCUCUGAGUUGUUUAGCGCCUCACUUUUACUGAUGCUGGCUUUGAACUCACGAUCCUCCUGUCUCGGCCUCCCAAAUUGCUGGGAUUAUAGGCAUUCACCAUCAAUGCCCAAUGACUGGAAGAGCUUUUUAACAUAGAUUCAGAGAAACCAUAUGAAAAGUUUCAGUUAUAUAUUUCCUUUGUGUGAAUUAUCUUUUAAGUACUUCAUUUGUGAAGAAGUACCUAAAAUUUCCAUCUGUCCACAUUUUGAACUGAAUUACUCUCCAAAUAUAUUUAUUUUCUAAUGAAUCUUAUUCAAUAUAUGGUUAAGAAGUGAUCUGGAACUCCAAAGAGGCUGACUUAUCUGAAAGUACAAAAGACGCAAAUGGCAGAACUGAAGUAGGAACCCAGUUUUCUAAAUUCUCAAUCCAGUAUCCUUUCCCUAGGUCUUCUUGCAGGAAGCCAUGAAUGCUUCAGGGACCAGGGCAAUUAAAGAUACUAAUCUGAAUGCAUCAGGUCUAAGAACCUGCUUUCUUAGCAUUGUCCAUCUGUUACUGGAUUUGACAGCCCAAAUGCCAAACAGCAGUACUUUAACUAGAUAUAGAUUUCCUUACAUAGGUUUGACAGUUUCCCUGCAAACUUAUCUGAAAAGUAUUUAUUCUUAAAAUUGAAUUUUCUUCCCCCAUAUGCGGAACAGUUUUUUUGUUUUUGUUUUUUAUUAAGAGGGCUAGGAGUAUAGCUUAGUGAUAGAAUGCAUACCUAGCAUUUGUGUGGCCCUGCACCAAGAAAAAAAAAAUUAGAACACUUUCAUAAGGUAAAUGCAAAAUGUAGUAAGUUGACCCCAAAGGAAUUCCAGCCAAGAAAAAACUGAGGUAAUGUUUGCAUAUUUAGAAUAUUUAAAUUUAUCAUAGGUGAUUUAUCUUAUUUCCUCUAUUAAUUUUAUAGGUAUUUUCUUAAGGUGACAAUAGUGAGAAGACUGACAGACUUGGUGAAAGAGUAUGAUCUUAUUGUUCACCAGCUUGCCACCUAUCCUGAUGUUAACAACUCUAUUAAGAUGGAAGUGGGCAUUGAAGAUUGUCUGCAUAUAGAAUUUGAAUACAAUAAGUCAAAGUAAGUACCUUUCACAGAUGAAUGUUCAGGGAAAAUUUAAAAAUAAGCUUUUCAGGCCUUUGUAAAUUGAUCACCAUAAGGAUAGAAUUAAUAUUAAUCUGAUGUUAACAGACUGACAGUCUCUGAGCUACAAGAAAUUUGAGGAGUUUGGUCUUGCUUCCACCCCAGGGAAAGUAUCUUUUAUAUUCUCUUCCUGAUAAGAUUCUGCUUGAUCACUUUAUGUAGAGGAUCUUAACAUCUCAGAAGUAGCCAGUUUCAUUUGUCUGUAAAAUUUACUAGCUUGAUAUCACUUCAUCCUGGCUAUUUAUUUAAACUGAAACAAAAAUUCUUUUUUUCUGACUACAUAAACAGUACUUUUUCAUUAUUGAAAAUUUGGAGGAUGUAAAAAGUGAAAGGAAGUAAAAACGUCACAUAUGUUCACCUUUACUAUUUAACCACUAAUAAUAUUCUCUUGUGUGUCUGUUUUGGGGGUGUGGUAUAUAUAUAUAUAUAUAUUUUCAAAAUGGGUUCAUACUUAUUAUUUAAUACCUUUUUAAAUUUUAUUAUGGAAGAUUUCAAACAAUGCCAAAGUACAUGAAUAUUGAAUAAUAUAAUGAAUCUUCAUGUACCCAUUGCCCAGCUCCAACAGUUACUAGCUGCUUUGUUUUGUCUGUAUUUAGCUCCCACACUUCUCAUAGACUAUAUUGAAACAAAUUCUAGACACAUAAUUUAGUCUAAAAAAUUAUGCAUUAUUUUAGUGUAACUACAAUACUAUUCAAAAAUAUUAACUCCUUAAUAUUUCUAUAAAUAUAGUCAGCAUUCACAUAACCCAAAUUGACUCAUUUUUUGUCUCUUUUUUUCACAUGAUUUGUUCAAAUCUGUAUCCAAACAAGAUCCACAAAUUUCAUUGGAUUUUUUUGACUCUUAAAUCUCAUAAUUUUAUAUUUUUCCCAUUUUUUUAUUAAAGUUUUAAUUUGUUGAAGAAAUAGAUGGCUUGUUUUAUCUCUCUUCUACAUAUUAUUCUCUUACAUAAUUUUUUAUUGUCACUGCCAACUUUAUAGCACUUAAAAUUUGAUAUAUGUGUCUAUAGAAUCUUAAAUUGUUGAUAAAUUAUCAGAUACUUGGAAACCUAAACACUUGUCACUGGAGUUUCCCUUCAGACUCAUGUGGUUGUAUUCCCAGAUUUGUUAGCACCUUAUUUCAAAGAAUUUAGCAAGGUUCUUUGAUUAUUAAAUAAUAUACAACAAAAUCAGAUCUGUGGAGGUAGCCCCAAUUAAUCUCUCUUUGAGGUCAGAUUUGUUAGUUGUAUUAUUGUAGCAUUUAUAAUGAUGCUGUUAUAUAGAACUUUUUUUUUUUUUUUUUUUUAAGAAAGAGAGAGAGAGACAGAGAGAGAGAAAGAGAGAGAGAGAGAGAGAGAAUUUUAAUAUUUGUUUUUUAGUUUUCGGCGGACACAACAUCUUUGUUUGUAUGUGGUGCUGAGGAUCGAACCUGGGCCGCACGCACGCCAGGCAAGCGCGCUACCGCUUGAGCCACAUCCCCAGCCCUAUAUAGAACUUUUAAUGUUGAAAAUAUCUUCAACUGGAGGCCAGUCUGGGCAACUUAAGCAAGACCCUCUCUCAAAAUAAAAAGAACAAUAAAAAGGGCUGAGGGUAUAGGUCAGUGAUAAAGUGUCCUGGUUCCAUUUCUAUUACAGUUGAUCAGUCAAUCAAUAAAAUGAAAAUAUAUUCAUUCACUUGAAACAAAUAUUUCAAGCAUAAAGAAUCUAAUUUUCUAUUUGGUUAACUGCUUAGAUUCUCUAGGCAAUAAGUCCUAAGUAGGACCAACAAUUCAUCAGGCUAAUUGUUCCCUCCGAGAUAUUGAAGGUCAAGUAAAAGUUUGAUAGCAUACUUUAUCAUAGUGAAAUGAAAAGGGACCUGAAACAUUAUGAAUAGUCAAAAUGGUAUUCUUAAAGUUGUUAUCUUAAAGAUACCUAUUAAAGCCUUCCAUGGCUUAUUUCACUCUUUUUCUUGUUUUUAAAAUAUACUUAGUGAUAUGUAUUUUCUCCCAAUAGAUAUCAUUUAAAGGAUGUGAUUGUUGGAAAAAUUUACUUCUUAUUGGUAAGAAUAAAAAUACAACACAUGGAGUUACAACUGAUUAAAAAAGAGAUCACAGGAAUUGGUAAGUUGAAGAAAGUAUUUGAAUUAAAAUUUCCUUCUUUUAGUUGAAAUUUUAGAAAUCUCGAAAUUUUAUUUCAACAUAAAAUCAUUUGAUAUCCACAUUGGAAACUGACUUUGCUUUGCUGCCUAUAAGAAAUCCACUUAAUGCUUUUUUAAAAACUGGUUUUUGAGCUGGGUGUGGUGGCAUGCAUCUGUAGUAGGACCACCUGUUCUGAAGACUGAGGCAGGAGACUCUCUUGAGCUCAGGAGUUCAAGGCCAGCCAGGACUACACAGCAAGACCACAUCUCUUAAAAAUAUAAAGAAAUACAUAAAAAUUUGAAUAGGUGGCAAUUUCACUUUGCUCAACAAGUAUGAAAGACUAUAUGGUAGCCAGGCAUGGUGGCACAUGCCUGUAAUCCUGGUGACUAGGGAGAUUGUUACAAGAGGAUCACAAGUUAAAGACCAGCAUGGGUAAUUUAGCAAGAACCUGUCUCAAAGAAUAAAAAAGGGCUGGGGGUGUGACUCAGUGGUAAAGUGCUCCUGGGUUCAGUCCCCAGUACCGAAAAAAAUAAUAAAUAAAUAGGGCUGGAAAUGUACCUCAGUGGUUGCCUAGCAUAUAUGAGGUCCUGGAUUCAAUCCCUGGUACAAAAAAAAAAAAAAAAAAAACAGUAAAAAGUAUCAUAUUUUAAUACUUAAGUUAUUAAUAGGUAAUACAUUUAUAAGUUUUUAAAUCCUCCUAGAAGCUGGGCACAGCAGCAUGUGCUAUAGUGCCAGCUACUUUGGAGGCUGAGGAAAGAGAAUUACUUGAGCCCAGGAGUUCAGGGUCAACCUGGGAAACAGUGAAACCAUGUCUUUUUUGAUAAAAGGUGAAAGAUUUAUACAACCUAAAGAGAAACCAGAGUAUGAGACCCUAUCUCUUAAAAAAUAUU